rnacentral:rRNA from 1 species
AGCCUGAACGCUGGCGGCGUGGCUAAGACAUGCAAGUCGUACGGUGUAGCAAUACACAGUGGCGAACGGGAGAGUAAUGAAUCGCUAAUGUGCCCCGGACUCUGGGAUAGCCAGUUGAAAGAUUGGGUAAUACCAGAUGAUAUAUCUUUAUCGCAUGAUAGAGAUCUCAAAGGUCCGCCGGUCUGGGAGCAGGCGAUUUCGUAUCAGCUAGUUGGUGAGGUAACGGCUCACCAAGGCGACGACGCGUAGCCGGACUGAGAGGUUGGCCGGCCUCAUUGGGACUGAGACACUGCCCAGACUCCUACGGGGGGCUGCAGUAACGAAUCUUCCGCAAUGCACGAAAGUGUGACGGAGCGACGCCGCGUGUGGGACGAAGUCCUUCGGGAUGUAAACCACUGUCAGGGGUUACCAAGUUCUGAGGAGCCCCAGAGGAAGGGACGGCUAACUCUGCGCCAGCCAGCCGCGGU